GAUGAACGCUAGCGGGAGGCCUAACACAUGCAAGCCGAGCGGUAUUGUUUCUUCGGAAAUGAGAGAGCGGCGUACGGGUGCGUAACACGUGUGCAACCUGCCUUUAUCUGGGGGAUAGCCUUUCGAAAGGAAGAUUAAUACUCCAUAAUAUAUUGAACGGCAUCGUUUAAUAUUGAAAGCUCCGGCGGAUAGAGAUGGGCACGCGCAAGAAUAGCUAGUUGGUGAGGUAACGGCUCACCAAGGCGAUGAUCUUUAGGGGGCCUGAGAGGGUGAUCCCCCACACUGGUACUGAGACACGGACCAGACUCCUACGGGAGGCAUCAGUGAGGAAUAUUGGUCAAUGGGUGCAAGCCUGAACCAGCCAUCCCGCGUGAAGGACGACUGCCCUAUGGGUUGUAAACUUCUUUUGUAUAGGGAUAAACCUACCCUCGUGAGGGUAGCUGAAGGUACUAUACGAAUAAGCACCGGCUAACUCCGUGCCAGCCGCCGCUGUAA
rnacentral:rRNA from 1 species